rnacentral:rRNA from 1 species
GGGUUUUCGGACCCUAGCGGCGGACGGGUGAGUAACACGUAGGCAACCUGCCUGUAAGACUGGGAUAACAUAGGGAAACUUAUGCUAAUACCGGAUAGGGUUUUGCUUCGCAUGAAGCGAAACGGAAAGAUGGCGCAAGCUAUCACUUGCAGAUGGGCCUGCGGCGCAUUAGCUAGUUGGUGAGGUAAAGGCUCACCAAGGCGACGAUGCGUAGCCGACCUGAGAGGGUGACCGGCCACACUGGGACUGAGACACGGCCCAGACUCCUACGGGAGGCAGCAGUAGGGAAUUUUCCACAAUGGACGAAAGUCUGAUGGAGCAACGCCGCGUGAACGAUGAAGGCUUUCGGGUCGUAAAGUUCUGUUGUUAGGGAAGAAACAGUGCCAUUUAAAUAAGAUGGCGCCUUGACGGUACCUAACGAGAAAGCCACGGCUA